GAUGAACGCUGGCGGCGUGCCUAAUACAUGCAAGUCGAGCGAGGUUCUUCGGAACCUAGCGGCGGACGGGUGAGUAACACGUGGGUAACCUGCCUGUAAGACCGGGAUAACUUCGGGAAACCGAAGCUAAUACCGGAUAAUUUCGAGCAUCGCAUGAUGCUUGAUGGAAAGACGGUUUCGGCUGUCACUUACAGAUGGACCCGCGUCGCAUUAGCUAGUUGGUGAGGUAACGGCUCACCAAGGCGACGAUGCGUAGCCGACCUGAGAGGGUGAUCGGCCACACUGGGACUGAGACACGGCCCAGACUCCGACGGGAGGCAGCAGUAGGGAAUCUUCGGCAAUGGGCGAAAGCCUGACCGAGCAACGCCGCGUGAGCGAUGAAGGCCUUCGGGUCGUAAAGCUCUGUUGUUAAGGAAGAACAAGUACGAGAGUAACUGCUCGUACCUUGACGGUACUUAACGAGAAAGCCACGGCUAACUACGUGCCAGCAGCCGCGGUAACAC
rnacentral:rRNA from 1 species